GUCCUCCGCCACACUGGGAGCAGCGAUGGUGGAGGUAACGUUGUGUGUGAAUGGCUAGUUUUUCGGCCACAGUCCUGCCUCUGGGUCUGUCAGCUGUUGAAGCUCAACUCGAGGACAGAGAGACACGAGCAGGUUUGCAACGUAUGAGAACUUGGUCUGAGUCCGGUUCAUCUCCGCCACGGAUCGCACCAAAAUCAGAGAUGAUCAGCCAGACGUCUGCUCCGUGCGCUGCGGUUGGAUGUUGGAGCUGCGCGUGGAUUGGUUGCUCGCUCUUCAUUACUUGUAUUUCAGAGCCCAGGAGCAGAGCAGCUGUGAGAGCGGAGGGAAAGCACGAACACCUGCGGGCGCGUUCAGGCACAACUUUUUGCGCUUCUCACAGGAGACUGAUCACUUAA
rnacentral:lncRNA from 1 species